rnacentral:tRNA from 1 species
GAGGGUAUGGCUCAGUGGAAAAGCACGUGCUUAGCAUGCACGAGGUCCUGGGUUCAAUCCCCAGUACCUCCA